GAUGAACGCUGGCGGCGUGCCUAAUACAUGCCAGUCGAGCGAACAGAUAAGGAGCUUGCUUCUUUGACGUUAGCGGCGGACGGGUGAGUAACACGUGGAUAACCUACCUAUAAGACUGGGAUAACUUCGGGAAACCGGAGCUAAUACCGGAUAACAUAUUGAACCGCCUGGUUCAAUAGUGAAAGGCGGUUUUGCUGUCACUUAUAGAUGGAUCCGCGCCGCAUUAGCUAGUUGGUAAGGUAACGGCCUACCAAGGCAACGAUACGUAGCCGACCUGAGAGGGUGAUCGGCCACACUGGAACUGAGACACGGUCCAGACUCCUACGGGAGGCAGCAGUAGGGAAUCUUCCGCAAUGGGCGAAAGCCUGACGGAGCAACGCCGCGUGAGUGAUGAAGGUCUUCGGAUCGUAAAACUCUGUUAUCAGGGAAGAACAAAUGUGUAAGUAACUGUGCACAUCUUGACGGUACCUGAUCAGAAAGCCACGGCUAACUACGUG
rnacentral:rRNA from 1 species